rnacentral:rRNA from 1 species
UACGAAGGGGGCUAGCGUUGUUCGGAAUUACUGGGCGUAAAGCGCGCGUAGGCGGUGAUCCAUGUCAGAGGUGAAAGCCUGGGGCUCAACUCCAGAAUUGCCUUUGAAACGGGAUUGCUAGAGUCCGAGAGAGGAUGGCGGAAUUCCUAGUGUAGAGGUGAAAUUCGUAGAUAUUAGGAAGAACCCCGGUGGCGAAGGCGGCCAUCUGGCUCGGUACUGACGCUCAGGCGCGAAAGCGUGGGAGCAAACAGG